ACGAACGCUGGCGGCGUGCUUAACACAUGCAAGUCGAACGGAAAGGCCCUGCUUUUGUGGGGUGCUCGAGUGGCGAACGGGUGAGUAACACGUGAGUAACCUGCCCUUGACUUUGGGAUAACUUCAGGAAACUGGGGCUAAUACCGGAUAGGAGCUCCUGCUGCAUGGUGGGGGUUGGAAAGUUUCGGCGGUUGGGGAUGGACUCGCGGCUUAUCAGCUUGUUGGUGGGGUAGUGGCUUACCAAGGCUUUGACGGGUAGCCGGCCUGAGAGGGUGACCGGCCACAUUGGGACUGAGAUACGGCCCAGACUCCUACGGGAGGCAGCAGUGGGGAAUAUUGCACAAUGGGCGGAAGCCUGAUGCAGCAACGCCGCGUCCGGGAUGACGGCCUUCGGGUUGUAAACCGCUUUCGCCUGUGACGAAGCGUGAGUGACGGUAAUGGGUAAAGAAGCACCGGCUAACUACGUG
rnacentral:rRNA from 1 species